AAACGACUCUCGGCAACGGAUAUCUCGGCUCUCGCAUCGAUGAAGAACGUAGCGAAAUGCGAUACUUGGUGUGAAUUGCAGAAUCCCGUGAACCAUCGAGUCUUUGAACGCAAGUUGCGCCCCAAGCCGUUAGGCCGAGGGCACGUCUGCCUGGGUGUCACGCAUCGUUGCCCCCCAACCCCCUCUAAGGGAUCCGUUGGAUGGGCGGAAAAUGGCCUCCCGUGUGCUCCUCGUUCGCGGUUGGCCCAAAUCUGAGUCUUUCGGCGAGCGUGCCGCGACGAUCGGUGGUGAAACAUGCCUCUCGAGCUCCCGUCGCGUGCCUGCGUCUCCGUGUUACGGGCUCUAGGACCCUAGCGACGCCUUGUAUUUCGGGUGCUGCUCGCUCUGCGACCCCAGGUCAGGCGGGAUUACCCGCUGAAUUUAAGCAUAUCAAUAAGCGGAGGAAAAGAAACUUACCAGGAUUCCCCUAGUAACGGCGAGCGAACCGGGAAGAGCCC
rnacentral:rRNA from 1 species